rnacentral:miRNA from 1 species
AAAGCAUUGCUCUACCUGCAC